ensembl:snRNA U6 U6 spliceosomal RNA
GUGCCUGCUUUGCAGCACGCAUGCUAAAAUUGAAAUGAUACAAAGAAGAUAGCAUGGCUCCUGCACAAGGAUAACACAGAAAUUCAUCAAGCAUUCCUUAUUUUU